UUGAAUCUCCUGGCACCCAGGCCCCAUCCCAAGGUGGAAUCCAUAAGUUAUCUCAUUAACAUAACAAAAGACACCUUUAUCGCUCUCAUCACUUAUAAAUUCCCUAAGUUUUAGUAGCUCUGUGCCAGAAAAGGGGACAAAGACCAAAUACAUAUUUCUCACUAUAAAUUGCAGUAUCAGAGUGACUGAUUGGCAACGCAAAGAAAUUAGUAAACUGUGGUCAUGAAAAAAUUUAUUUUGUUGGAAAAACAGCUCUGCAUUGGGACCAGAUUCCUAAAAAGCAUAACUUUAACGUAGGACCUAGAUUUUCAACAGAGGUAAUAUUGGCAAAUUUGUCAGUUUAAUUCUCAGCUGCCCCAUUAUUAGCAGUGGCUUCUUCACCACAGUUUUUUCAGGUGGUUUACACCAGUGGUUCUGGCCAGAGACAGCUCACCACCCUCCUCCCUGCUCCUUCUCACCCCAGAACAUUUGGCAAUAUCUGGAGCCCUUUUUGGUUGUCACACUGGGAGUUUCUGGUGACAACUUGUGGGUGGAGGCCAGGAAUGCUGGUAGACAGCUUACUAUUUACAAAACAGCCCUCACCACCCCCAACCACAAAGAAUCAUCUGGUCCAAAAUGUUACAGUGCCGAGGUUGGAAACUCUACUUUAUGCUGUGCUUCUUCUAAAAAUUCUACACUCAUGCUUUAAGCACACACCCUCCAAUUCAGUUCUUCAUGGUUUCUUUUAGCUUCUUUCAUUACCAAAAAAACUAGACAGUUGCACACAUCCAUCACUUCUUGUUGAAUCCAUUCAAUCAAGGCAAGCUCAAGAUCUUCGUUUUUAUUUUUCGCCUUUUGCAAUGUUUUUCAAAAUUUCAUGAAAAUGUUCAAGAUUUCUUGGUUAUGACAUCUCUGUUAACUUUCAACAACUUGCCUUUUUAAAUCACAAAUAGUGGUGACCGCUGCAAAUAUUUUUCAGUAAAGUGCCUCAAAUUUCUGAAGUAAUUCUGCUUUCCAUACUACUGAUGCUAUCAGAAGCUUCCAUUCGUUCAUCUCACUUUUAACCCCAGGGUUAUUCUUUAACUCUUUUUUGACAUUUUCACAGUUCAAUUAAAUGUAAAGACAAAAACCUCAAAAAUGUGUGCAUUUAUAUGAUAUGUAUGUGGAUAUUUAUACAUAUGUGCAUGUCAGCACAUUGAAGCUACAGAAGCACGUACAACCAAUAAGAGCUGAGAGACACAUUUGACCCCAUACCUCAUCAGGUCAGAGACUCCAAAUGAGUUCUGACACCAAAUUUUUUUAAAAAUCUGGUUUCCUGAGCUAUCUGGAUUUAGAAAAGCAGAAAAAGGAGUGUAGAUCUGUAUUGAGAUUAUGGUUUUAAUCUCUUUAAAACUCUUCAGGAGUUUCCCACUACAGUUGGUAUAAAUUCAAAAUCCUAACAUCACCUACAAGGCUUGUAAGUCCUCCGCUCCACUUGAUUUCUCCAGUCUAGCCUUUUACCUUCCUUCCUCUCACUGUCUCUGCUUCAGUGAACUGGUUUCUUCUGGUUUCUUGAGGAAAUUCAUCAAUUCUUUCAAGCUUCUCCACGUGGUGUUACCUUUACCUGAAAUGUGCCUCCCUUUUCCCCAAACAUAUACACACACCCACUCUUCUCUAGCUCACAUCACCUUAACUUUUCCUGUCACAUCUUAAAUGUUACUCUCAGAGACCACUUCUCUGGCACCCUGAGGUAAUUGAGAUCAUCCUGUUAUUCUCUGUCCUAAAACUCCACACCUUUGUUUUGACAUUUCUCACUCCAUAAAAAUUCUUGCGCGGUUGAGUUUUGUCCAUCAUUUUCACUAAAUUUUAAGCUUCACGAGUGGAGGGAAGAUGUCUGUUUUUCCCUUCUUUGGAUUUCCAGGGGACAGCACUAAUAAAGUAUUUACAGAGCGAAUGAGGUGGGAAGAGUUUAAGGAACAGCUGAAGAGCUGUGGGAUGAGAGGAGGGAGCGGUGAGCGUCUUUCAGGUGGAGGCGUCCGGUGGUGGUGGAGACAAAUCCUUGUCCAGCUCCAGCUGCUGUUUAGAGGUCUGCAGCCAAGCACGGAAGCCCAGUGGAUCCUGAAUGGCUCCGGACCAGAGAGAUUUUCCCCGCCCGGCCAGGUCUCCCUCCUCCGCGGGCAGAUGAAAGAUGACCCUGUGCAGUGCUGGUAGUUCGUGCGUGGUGCCUGUGGAGCCAGUCAGGGGUGCCUUAGUGCCCCCUCGCGCGCCUGGACGCUCCUCACUGGUGGGCGUCGCCAUCCAUCUCUUCUCGGGAACCCGCCCGGGUGACCGGAUCCUUCCUGUCCCCACAGCACAUUUCCUGGAGUAUAGUACCUUCGAGUGUCAUUUCUCCAACGGGACUCAGCGGGUGCUAUACUUGCACAGACUCUUCUAUAACGGGAAGGAGUACGUGCGCUUCGACAGCGACGUGGGCGAGUACCGGGCGCUGACCGAGCUGGGGCGGCGGAGCGCCGAGUACUGGAACGGGCAGCAGGACAUCCUGGAGCAGAAGCGGGCGGAGGUGGACACGGUGUGCAGACACAACUACGGCGUCAGCGAGAGCUUCCUGGUGCCGCGGCGAGUUGAACCUACAGUGACUGUGUAUCCUGCAAAGACCCAGCCCCGGCAGCACCACAACCUCCUGGUCUGCUCUGUGAAUGGCUUCUAUCCAGGCCACAUCGAAGUCAGGUGGCUCCGGAAUGGCCAGGAAGAGGAGGCUGGAGUCAUCUCCACAGGUCUGAUCCGUAAUGGAGACUGGACCUUCCAGACCCUGGUGAUGCUUGAGACAGUUCCUCAGAGUGGAGAGGUCUACGCCUGCCAAGUGGAGCACCCAAGCCGGACAAGCCCUGUCACAGUGGAAUGGAGUGAGAAGCUUUCUGACCCCAUAAAUUCCUUGCCCACCAAAGAGGGGACUUUCCUUAUACCUGAGUGUCAGGGGCCCCGUCUGAGUCUGCGCAGAGCAAGAUGCUGAGUGGAGUCGGGGGCUUCGUGCUGGGGCUGCUCUUCCUUGGGGCAGGGCUGUUCAUCCACUGCAGGAACCAGAAAGGGCAUGGUGGACUUCAGCCAACAGGGCUCCUGAGCUGAAGUGACGAUGGCGACCCUCAAGGAGGAACCUUCUAUCCUAGCUUCUUCGUAGCGUGAAAAGUUUUCCAACUUGGCUCUUAUUCUACCAAAAGAAUGCUUUCUCAGGAUCUGGUUUGCUCCUGGUUCAGUGACCCUGCAGAAAAUGCCUUCCCUGCUGGCUUCCUCAGACCCUUCCCUAAGCCUAGAAGUCCCCAAUAUUGAGUGCAGUACCUCAUCGUCCUUCUUUCUCGGUCACCUUUGUAUUCAACCCUUACUGCCUCCUGUGCAUCUGAACUCACAUUCUGCCCACAUUUCUUUGUAAAGUUUUUCUCAAUGAAACAUGGAGUGAAAGUCAUCUGCUUCAUGCAACUUCAAGGACAAGAAUUAGAAAGAAAAGAGAAGAGGAGAGUUGCAUUACAAAACAGUAAUGGUUUUCAUUUAUAUUGUUGAAUUUUGGUCACAUGUGGAUCGUGAAGUUUUUCUUGCUUCCAUCCCCAGUUUUUCUUGUGUUUUCUGCAUUCUGUAAUUAAGUAUAUUUACCUGAGCUCAGAGAAAGCCCUUAAUGACCCCAUAUCAUAGUGAUCUCCUACCUCUAUUCCUUCUCAAAAACAAACACACAAGGUCCUUCAUAUCAUGGGAUACAGAGAGGGACAUCAAGUAUAAAAAGUGCAAGUAACUUGUGGUGGUAGUUACACAAAUCUACAAAUGUGAUAAAACAUAUGUAUAGAACUAUAAACACAUUGUACCAAUACCAGUUUCCUGGUCUUGAUAUUGUACUAUAGUUUCUUAAGAUAUAGCCAUUUAAGGAAACUACAUGAAUGGGUACACAGGAUCUCUCUGUACUGUCUUUGCAAAGAUCUGUGAGUCUAUAAUUAUU